UGAUUUUAGUGCUUGCACUAAAUGAAACUAGAUACAAGCGAGCGGCGGACGGGUGAGUAACACGUGGGUAACCUGCCCAAGAGACUGGGAUAACACCUGGAAACAGAUGCUAAUACCGGAUAACAACACUAGACGCAUGUCUAGAGUUUAAAAGAUGGUUCUGCUAUCACUCUUGGAUGGACCUGCGGUGCAUUAGCUAGUUGGUAAGGUAACGGCUUACCAAGGCAAUGAUGCAUAGCCGAGUUGAGAGACUGAUCGGCCACAUUGGGACUGAGACACGGCCCAAACUCAUACGGGAGGCAGCAGUAGGGAAUCUUCCACAAUGGACGCAAGUCUGAUGGAGCAACGCCGCGUGAGUGAAGAAGGGUUUCGGCUCGUAAAGCUCUGUUGGUAGUGAAGAAAGAUAGAGGUAGUAACUGGCCUUUAUUUGACGGUAAUUACCUAGAAAGUCACGGCUAACUACGUGCCAGCAGCCGCGGUAAUACGUAGGUGGCAAGCGUUGUCCGGAUUUAUUGGGCGUAAAGCGAGUGCAGGCGGUUCAAUAAGUCUGAUGUGAAAGCCUUCGGCUCAACCGGAGAAUUGCAUCAGAAACUGUUGAACUUGAGUGCAGAAGAGGAGAGUGGAACUCCAUGUGUAGCGGUGGAAUGCGUAGAUAUAUGGAAGAACACCAGUGGCGAAGGCGGCUCUCUGGUCUGCAACUGACGCUGAGGCUCGAAAGCAUGGGUAGCGAACAGGAUUAGAUACCCUGGUAGUCCAUGCCGUAAACGAUGAGUGCUAAGUGUUGGGAGGUUUCCGCCUCUCAGUGCUGCAGCUAACGCAUUA
rnacentral:rRNA from 1 species